GAUGAAGAACGUAGCGAAAUGCGAUAAGUAAUGUGAAUUGCAGAAUUCAGUGAAUCAUCGAAUCUUUGAACGCACAUUGCGCCCGCCAGUAUUCUGGCGGGCAUGCCUGUUCGAGCGUCAUUUCAACCAUCAAGCCCCAGGCUUGUGUUGGGGGCCUGCAGCUGCUGCAGCCCCCUAAAAGCAGUGGCGGACUCGCUGUCAUACCGAGCGCAGUAGUUACAUCUCGCUCUGGGCAUGGCGGCGGGCACCUGCCGUAAAACACUCUUUCUAAGGUUGACCUCGGAUCAGGUAGGAAUACCCGCUGAACUUAAGCAUAUCAUAAGCGGAGGA
rnacentral:misc_RNA from 1 species